ACACAUGCAGUCGAGCGGCAGCANGNAGAAACUUGUUUCUCGGGUGGCGAGCGGCGGACGNGGUGAGUAAUGCCUGGGAAUUGCCCUGAUGUGGGGGAUAACCAUUGGAAACGAUGGCUAAUACCGCAUGAUGCCUACGGCCAAAGAGGGGGACCUUCGGGCCUCUCGCGUCAGGAUAUGCCCAGGUGGGAUUAGCUAGUUGGUGAGGUAAGGGCUCACCAAGGCGACGAUCCCUAGCUGGUCUGAGAGGAUGAUCAGCCACACUGGAACUGAGACACGGUCCAGACUCCUACGGGAGGCAGCAGUGGGGAAUAUUGCACAAUGGGCGCA
rnacentral:rRNA from 1 species